rnacentral:lncRNA from 1 species
AUUGUUUUUCCUGUUUUAAAAAAGCAAAUUAAGCAAAAAGUGAAGACUAUUUGAUGUUGAUAUUUUGAAUGAUAUAUUUUAGAAGACACAAAAUACUAUGAGAUAGAUUUUGGGAAUAAAGGAAAGAAAUUACCGAUCUUUUACCAACUUGAAUGCCAACUAAUCGAAUUCCAAUUGAGGUAACAUAUGCUGAAAUUUUAAAAGUUGUUUUGAUGGAUUUCUAAAGAGCAUUGAAACUUCGAAGGAUGGGAUACAUGAAAGGGAAAAGAAACACUUUUUUCAAGGAGGAGAGAUGAAAAAUAGUAGCAUUCAGAAUUAUCGUCGAAGCAAUGAUUUUGCAUAUUAAUAUGUCACUAACCCU